rnacentral:rRNA from 1 species
AAUAGAUACCCUGGUAGUCCAUGCCGUAAACGAUGUCUACUAGCCGUUGGGGCCCUUGAGGCUUUAGUGGCGCAGCUAACGCGAUAAGUAGACCGCCUGGGGAGUACGGUCGCAAGACUAAAACUCAAAUGAAUUGACGGGGGCCCGCACAAGCGGUGGAGCAUGUGGUUUAAUUCGAUGCAACGCGAAGAACCUUACCUGGCCUUGACAUACAGAGAACUUUCCAGAGAUGGAUUGGUGCCUUCGGGAACUCUGAUACAGGUGCUGCAUGGCUGUCGUCAGCUCGUGUCGUGAGAUGUUGGGUUAAGUCCCGCAACGAGCGCAACCCUUUUCCUUAUUUGCCAGCACUUCGGGUGGGAACUUUAAGGAUACUGCCAGUGACAAACUGGAGGAAGGCGGGGACGACGUCAAGUCAUCAUGACCCUUACGGCCAGGGCUACACACGUGCUACAAUGGUCGGUACAAAGGGUUGCUACUGCGCGAGCAGAUGCUAAUCUCAAAAAGCCGAUCGUAGUCCGGAUCGC